GACGAACGCUGGCGGCGUGCUUAACACAUGCAAGUCGAACGGAAAGGCCCUGCUUUUGUGGGUUGCUCGAGUGGCGAACGGGUGAGUAACACGUGAGUAACAUGCCCUUGACUUUGGGGUAAAUUCAGGGAACUGCGGCUAAUACCGGAUAGAAGCUCCUGCUGCAUAGUGUGGGUUGGAGAGUUUCGGCGGUGGUGGCUGGACUGGAGGGUUAUCCGCUUGUUGGUCGGGUAGUGGUUUACCAAGCCUUUGACGGGUAGCCGGCCUGAGAGCGUGACCGGGCACAUUGGGACUGCGAGACGGCGCAGAAUGCUACGGGCGGCAGCAGUGGGGAACAUUGCACAAUGGGCGGACGCCUGAUGCAGAAACGCUGCGUGCGUGAUGCCGGCCUUCGGGUUGUAAACCGCUUUCGCCUGUGACGAAGCGUGAGUGACGGUAAUGGGUAAAGAAGCAACGGCUAACUACGUG
rnacentral:rRNA from 1 species